UACGUAGGGACCAAGCGUUGUUCGGAUUUACUGGGCGUAAAGCGUGCGCAGGCGGCUUGCUAAGACAGGUGUGAAAGCCCCGAGCUUAACUUGGGAAUGGCGCUUGUGACUGGCAGGCUGGAGUGUGGCAGAGGGAGGUGGAAUUCCACGUGUAGCAGUGAAAUGCGUAGAGAUGUGGAGGAACACCGAUGGCGAAGGCAGCCUCCUGGGCCAACACUGACGCUCAUGCACGAAAGCGUGGGGAGCAAACAGG
rnacentral:rRNA from 1 species